rfam:Colletotrichum orchidophilum strain IMI 309357 Scaffold_102.1, whole genome shotgun sequence.
UCCGAUAUGGUGUAGUGGCCAACAUGAUGCCCUCUCAUUGAUAUGAAAGGUUAGGCAUAGCCCCGAGUUCGAUUCUCGGUUUCGGAA